rnacentral:rRNA from 1 species
UCAGGCCUAACACAUGCAAGUCGAGCGGAAACGAGUUAACUGAACCUUCGGGGAACGUCAACGGCGUCGAGCGGCGGACGGGUGAGUAAUGCCUGGGAAAUUGCCCUGAUGUGGGGGGUAACCAUUGGAAACGAUGGCUAAUACCGCAUAAUAGCUUCGGCUCAAAGAGGGGGACCUUCGGGCCUCUCGCGUCAGGAUAUGCCCAGGUGGGAUUAGCUAGUUGGUGAGGUAAGGGCUCACCAAGGCGACGAUCCCUAGCUGGUCUGAGAGGAUGAUCAGCCACACUGGAACUGAGACACGGUCCAGACUCCUACGGGAGGCAGCAGUGGGGAAUAUUGCACAAUGGGCGCAAGCCUGAUGCAGCCAUGCCGCGUGUAUGAAGAGGGCCUUCGGGUUGUAAAGUACUUUCAGCAGUGAGGAAGGCGGAGUCGUUAAUAGCGGCCUCGUUUGACGUUAGCUGCAGAAGAAGCACCGGCUAACUCCGUGCCAGCAGCCGCGGUAAUACGGAGGGUGCGAGCGUUAAUCGGAAUUACUGGGCGUAAAGCGCAUGCAGGUGGUUUGUUAAGUCAGAUGUGAAAGCCCGGGGCUCAACCUCGGAAUUGCAUUUGAAACUGGCAGACUAGAGUACUGUAGAGGGGGGUAGAAUUUCA